UUUUGACAUUAAUUACCUUAUGAUUAAAAUAUAUCAAAAGUGAUAAUUUUUAAUGAUCAGUAUAAAAUACUUGCUAGUUUAACGGUGUAAAAGAAUCAAAAUUAGUUGAAUUUUUGAUAAAAAAUUCUAUUCAUUAUUUAGAUAAAAUCAAUAAUUUUCGUCUUAAAUUGAAGAAUCCGAUUCUUUAUUUUUAGGAGGUCGUUCGGUUUUAACCAUUCAUUUUACACUCACUUGAUGGAUUUUAUUAUAAUUUUAAAAAAAAUUACGGAAUUUGUUUUGUAUAAGUCUCAAAUGUUCUAUAUCAUAUUUAAAUGUAUGGAUUGUCAAUUUGAAAACCCUAUCAUUAAAAAUAAUAUAUGAGUAUAAAAAUUAA
rnacentral:lncRNA from 1 species